UACGUAGGGGGCUAGCGUUGUCCGGAUUUAUUGGGCGUAAAGAGCGUGUAGGCGGCCAGGUAGGUCUGCUGUGAAACUCGAGGCUCAACCUCGAGACGUCGGCGGAAACCAUCUGGCUAGAGUCCGGAAGAGGAGAGUGGAAUUCCUGGUGUAGCGGUGAAAUGCGCAGAUAUCAGGAAGAACACCCGUGGCGAAGGCGGCUCUCUGGGACGGUACUGACGCUGAGACGCGAAAGCGUGGGAGCGAACAGG
rnacentral:rRNA from 1 species